UUCUUGAAUGGAGAGCGCAUAUGUUCAAUAUAACUGAGGGGAAAACAACGCUCUCUCUAAACCUCUCUUGUGAAAAGGCAUUUCCUCUGAAUGUGGUUCUUUGCAAAAUCAAAGCCAAAAGAAUGUGGAGCUAAUUCCUUGGUAUUUUUGAGAAAGUGGCAGCCAAAAUAUUUUUCUAAUUUGUGCCGCAGAACAGGCUCUGUCUGACGUAGUUCUGUGUUGGGAUGAAGCUGUGCAAAUUUGGGAGCCCAACCACAUUGACUGGAUUUCAAAGCAGUCACUCCUGGCCAAUGCAGCUGCUCAGAUGGCAUUGGCAGCAGACUUUGAGGACCUCAGUUGAGCCCUCUAUGCCAGAGAGUAGGCCCAGCGUGCACCUUGACUGUUCCUGAAGCAGGAAUUGUGGAGGAAGCAGUGACGACAGACCAUUCCUAAGUUUCAGAUGAAAGGCAGAACUGAAGGAACAAAGCCAGCGUUGUCACUGACAGAGUACUGCACAAGUCAAUGAUGAAGGCUGAGGGAAACCAUCCAGGACAAUAACGUUGAGAAUUUUGAGGAAAGUUUUGCCCAUAUUCUAAUUUAGAUGAACAAAAAUGAUACAAUACAGCAAUAAGCCAUUUGCCCCAUGAUACUCUGGCAGCUAUCCAAUUAAUCCGACACUCUGACUCUUUCCUCCUAGCCUUUUCCAGGAUUUAUCCAAUGUCAUCCUUUCAAAAUCACACAACGCUGGGUUAUAGUCCAACAGGUUUAUUUGGAAG